CAGUCGCCACGGUAAUACGUAGGUGGCAAGCGUUGUCCGGAAUUAUUGAGCGUAAAGCGCGCGCAGGUGGUUUAAUAAGUCUGAUGUGAAAGCCCACGGCUCAACCGUGGAGGGUCAUUGGAAACUGUUAAACUUGAGUGCAGGAGAGAAAAGUGGAAUUCCUAGUGUAGUGGUGAAAUGCGUAGAGAUUAGGAGGAACACCAGUGGCGAAGGCGGCUUUUUGGCCUGUAACUGACACUGAGGCGCGAAAGCGUGGGGAGCAAACAGGAUUAGAUACCCGCGUAGUCCCUGUCUCUUAUAC
rnacentral:rRNA from 1 species